rnacentral:rRNA from 1 species
UGGGGAAUUUUGGACAAUGGGCGCAAGCCUGAUCCAGCCAUGCCGCGUGUCUGAAGAAGGCCUUCGGGUUGUAAAGGACUUUUGUCAGGGAAGAAAAGGGCGGGGUUAAUACCCCUGUCUGAUGACGGUACCUGAAGAAUAAGCACCGGCUAACUACGUGCCAGCAGCCGCGGUAAUACGUAGGGUGCGAGCGUUAAUCGGAAUUACUGGGCGUAAAGCGGGCGCAGACGGUUACUUAAGCAGGAUGUGAAAUCCCCGGGCUCAACCUGGGAACUGCGUUCUGAACUGGGUGACUAGAGUGUGUCAGAGGGAGGUAGAAUUCCACGUGUAGCAGUGAAAUGCGUAGAGAUGUGGAGGAAUACCGAUGGCGAAGGCAGCCUCCUGGGAUAACACUGACGUUCAUGCCCGAAAGCGUGGGUAGCAAACAGGAUUAGAUACCCUGGUAGUCCACGCCCUAAACGAUGUCGAUUAGCUGUUGGGCAGCUUGACUGCUUAGUAGCGAAGCUAACGCGUGAAAUCGACCGCCUGGGGAGUACGGUCGCAAGAUUA